AGAAACCACAAGGGGAGCUAUUUGGCUGAGAUGAAACGAAAUGUUUGAGACCCUUUGAACCUGUUUAGUUAGCACUUGCGUAGGGAUGUGGACAACAAUGUUU
rnacentral:ncRNA from 1 species